rnacentral:rRNA from 1 species
UUUGCUUUGUCCGUGUCGCUUUGCCUGCUAUCUCUUACCCAUGUCUUUUGAGUACCUUACGUUUCCUCGGUGGGUUCGCCCACCGAUUGGACAAAUUUAAACCCUUUGCAGUUGAAAUCAGCGUCUGAAAAAACUUAAUAGUUACAACUUUCAACAACGGAUCUCUUGGUUCUGGCAUCGAUGAAGAACGCAGCGAAAUGCGAUAAGUAGUGUGAAUUGCAGAAUUCAGUGAAUCAUCGAAUCUUUGAACGCACAUUGCGCCCCUUGGUAUUCCAUGGGGCAUGCCUGUUCGAGCGUCAUUUGUACCUUCAAGCUCUGCUUGGUGUUGGGUGUUUGUCUCCUGUAGACUCGCCUUAAAACAAUUGGCAGCCGGCGUAUUGAUUUCGGAGCGCAGUACAUCUCGCGCUUUGCACUCAUAACGACGACAUCCAAAAGUACAUUUUUACACUCUUGACCUCGGAUCAGGUAGGGAUACCCGCUGAACUUAAGCAUAUCAAAGUCGGGAAGGGAA